AAGUCGUAACAAGGUUUCCGUAGGUGAACCUGCGGAAGGAUCAUUAACACGAAUUAAUAUAUCCAUUAUUCAAACCCACCGUGAACUUUUUCCCUCCCUAUUCUCUUCCCAACAGAUGGAGAGUAGGCUACCUUUUUACAUUUCAUUUUUACCCCAUUUACAAUUUUGGUUUGCUUCUGUUAUUCUAUGGAAUGACUAUACAGUAAAUCAACAACACACUAAAAAACCAUAUUAUCUUUGAAAAAAAGAUUAUGUUUUUUUCUUAUUACGAAAUAAUAGUAAGUUUAUAAAACAACUCUUAGCAAUGGAUAUCUUGGUUCUC
rnacentral:misc_RNA from 1 species